AUCCAGAGCGGCACGCGGGAGGCGACUUCUCCUAGGCCGCGUCUCCCGCGACUUCUCCUAGGCCACGCGACGCUAGCAGCGCCAUGGCUGAACUGAAAGCAAAGAGGGGUAGUCGUACUUACCUCACAUGGACAGAUGCGAUGGAUCUAGCUCUUUUGGAAGUUCUUGUGGAGCAUCACAAUAAUGGAGACCGUGGUCAAAAUGGUUGGAAGCCACAUGUCUACAAUGCUGCCAUAAGAAAUGUGAAGGAUAAGUGCAAUGUGGAUAUCACAAAGGAUAAUAUUUCGGCAAGGUGCAAGACCUUUGAUAAGCACUAUGAAAUCAUUAGCAAGAUACUAUCGCAGAGUGGCUUUGGGUGGGAUUGGGAGAACAAUAGACUUUCUAUGGACAGCGAAGAUGUUUGGUUUAGAUAUGUGGAGGCUAACAAAGGAGCAGCAUGCUACAAG